UACGGGGGGGGCAAGCGUUGUUCGGAAUUACUGGGCGUAAAGGGCUCGUAGGUGGCCAACUAAGUCAGACGUGAAAUCCCCAGGCUCAACUUGGGAACUGCGUCUGAUACUGGAUGGCUUGAAUUCGGGAGAGGGAUGCAGAAUUCCAGGUGUAGCGGUGAAAUGCGUAGAUAUCUGGAGGAACACCGGUGGCGAAGGCGGCGUUCUGGACUGCAACUGACACUGAGGAACGAAAGCCAGGGGAGCAAACGGG
rnacentral:rRNA from 1 species